rnacentral:pre_miRNA from 1 species
GAUAAACAUUUUUCAUUCUUAAACAAUGAAUAGUUUUUCCAUGACAAAGUAUUCGUUGUUUAUGAAUGAGAGAAAUGUUAGCAUUU